CACACUCUGAGUGAAAUAUGGCUGUCUAUGAAAAUGCAUCAGAGAUCACUGUGGAGAUGAUGAACCUCUCUGAUGCUUCAGCCAGGACUGCUGCCUCCAAGAGUCACAGUGAUGAAGAUGGUACCACAGUGCCCGGAGGAAAACUGCUCAGAUGUGUUGCCGUGAGCUUUUGUCUCCUGUGUUUCCUACAAGUUGCUCUAAACAUUUCCCUCCGUCUUGCUCUCUCCCCUCCACCAGGGAUUGAUGCCAGUUUUAAAAAUCUGACUGAGGAGAGAGACGAGUUGAGGAGCAUCAACCUUCGUA